ensembl:lncRNA
GGGGACAUGGGGACAUGGGGACAUGGGGACAGGGGGACAUUAGGACAUUGGGACACUGGGGACAUUGGGAUGUGGGGACGUGGGGACAUUGAGGGCAUUGGGGAUAUGGGGACAUGGGGAUGUGGGGACGUGGGGACAGGGGGACAGGGGGACAUUGGGAACAUGGGGACAUGGGGACAUUGGGGAUGUGGGGAUGUGGGGACAUGGGGACAUUGGGACAGGGGGACAUUAGGACAUUGGGACAUUGGGGACAUUGGGAUGUGGGGACGUGGGGACAUUGAGGGCAUUGGGGAUAUUGGGACAUGGGGACAUUCGGGACAUGGGGAUGUGGGGACAUGGGGACAUUGGGGACGUGGGGACAUGGGGACAUUGGGACGUGGGGACAUGGGGACACGGGGACACUCACGUGUGGCGUCGGUGCUGCUGCGGCUGUAGGAGCUGCGCACGCGGUAUUGAACCACGGGUUCACCAUGGGGAGCAAAGGCCGCACUGCGGGCAUGGGGACAUGGGGACAUGGGGACAUGGGGACAUGGGGACGUGGGGGCACGGGGACGUGGGGACGUGGGGACAUGGGGACAUGGGGACAUGGGGACACGGGGACAUGGGGACAUGGGGACACGGGGACACGGGGACACGGGGAGAUUGGGGACGUGGGGACGUGGGGACGUGGGGACGUGGGGACAUGGGGACAUUGGGGACAUGGGGACAAUGGGGACAUUGGGGACAUGGGGACAAUGGGGAUAUGGGGACGUGGAGAUGUGGGGACAAUGGGGACAUGGGGACAUGGGGACAAUGGGGACAUUGGGGACAUGGGGACAAUGGGGACAAUGGGGAUAUGGGGACGUGGAGAUGUGGGGACAAUGGGGACAAGGGGACAUGGGGACAGGGGGACAUGGCGAUGUGGGGACAUUGGGACAUGGGGACAUGGGGACAUGGGGACAAUGUGGAUAUGGGGACAUAGGGACAUGGGGACAUUGGGGACGUGGGGACACUGGGGACAAUGGGGACAAUGGGGAUAGGGGGAGAUUGGGGAGAUUGGGGACAUGGGGACAAUGGGGACAAUGGGGACAUGGGGACAUGGGGAUAUGGGGACAAUGGGGACAUGGGGACAAUGGGAAUGUGGGGACAUUGGGAACAUUGGGGACGUGGGGACGUGGGGACGUGGGGACGUGGGGACAUGGGGAUGUGGGGACAUUGGGACACGGGGACAUGGGGACAUUGGGGACACGGGGACAUGGGGACACGGGGACAUUGGGGACAUUGGGGACAUGGGGACACGGGGACCCUGGCCCCCUCACCCGUAGCGCGUGUCCUUGCGGCGCCUGCACGCGGCUCCCAGUGCUCCCAGCAGCGCCAGCACCGUGACUGCGCCCGCUGCCACCAGCAGCCACCAGGGGCGGCCUGCACCCACACCAGUACGGACCAGUACAGACCAGUACAGAGCAGUGCCAGACCAGUACAGACCAGUACAGAGCAAUACAGACGAGUACAGAGCAGAGCCAGACCAGUACAGACCAGUACAGAGCAGAACAGAGCAAUGCCAGACCAGUACAGAGCAGUGCCAGACCAGUACAGACCAGUACGGACCAGUACAGACCAGUACAGAGCAGUGCCAGACCAGUACAGAGCAAUACAGACCAGUACAGAGCAGAGCCAGACCAGUACAGACCAGUACAGACCAAU